UGCUAUACAUGCAGUCGAGCGAGGUAUACUUCGGUAUACCGAGCGGCGGACGGGUGAGUAACGCGUGGACAAUCUGCCUUUCGCUUCGGAAUACCCUUGAGAAAUCAAGGCUAAUACCGGAUACGGUUGCGCUGUCGCAUGGCAGUGCAAAGAAAGAUUUAUCGGCGAAAGAGGAGUCCGCGUCUGAUUAGCCAGUUGGCGGGGUAACGGCCCACCAAAGCGACGAUCAGUAGCCGACCUGAGAGGGUGAUCGGCCACAUUGGAACUGAGAAACGGUCCAAACUCCUACGGGAGGCAGCAGUAGGGAAUAUUGCACAAUGGAGGAAACUCUGAUGCAGCAACGCCGCGUGAAGGAAGAAGGUUUUCGGAUCGUAAACUUCUAUCGACAGGGACGAAACAAAUGACGGUACCUGAAUAAGAAGCCCCGGCUAACUACGUGCCAGCAGCCGCGGUAAUACGUAGGGGGCAAGCGUUAUCCGGAAUUACUGGGUGUAAAGGGUGAGUAGGCGGUUCGGCAAGUCAUAUGUGAAAUCCCGCAGCUCAACUGCGGGACUGCAUAAGAAACUGUUGAACUAGAGUACAGGAGAGGUAAGCGGAAUUCCAUGUGUAGCGGUGAAAUGCGUAGAUAUAUGGAAGAACACCAGUGGCGAAGGCGGCUUACUGGACUGAAACUGACGCUGAGUCACGAAAGCGUGGGGAGCAAACAGGAUUAGAUACCCUGGUAGUCCACGCUGUAAACGAUGAUAGCUAGGUGUUGGCUCGAGAGGGUCAGUGCCGUCGUUAACACAUUAAGCUAUCCACCUGGGGAGUACGGUCGCAAGAUUGAAACUCAAGGAAUUGACGGGGGCCCGCACAAGCGGUGGAGCAUGUGGUUUAUUCGAAGCACGCGAAGAACCUUACCAGGCUUGACAU
rnacentral:rRNA from 1 species